GAUGAACGCUGGCGGCGUGCCUAAUACAUGCAAGUCGAACGCACUGAUUUUAUCAGUGAGUGGCGAACGGGUGAGUAAUACAUAAGUAACCUGCCCUCAUGAGGGGGAUAACUAUUAGAAAUGAUAGCUAAGACCGCAUAGGUGAAGGGGUCGCAUGACCGCUUCAUUAAAUAUCCGUAUGGAUAGCAGGAGGAUGGACUUAUGGCGCAUUAGCUGGUUGGUGAGGUAACGGCUCACCAAGGCGACGAUGCGUAGCCGACCUGAGAGGGUGGACGGCCACACUGGGACUGAGACACGGCCCAGACUCCUACGGGAGGCAGCAGUAGGGAAUUUUCGGCAAUGGGGGAAACCCUGACCGAGCAACGCCGCGUGAGGGAAGAAGUAUUUCGGUAUGUAAACCUCUGUUAUAAAGGAAGAACGGUAUGAAUAGGAAAUGAUUCAUAAGUGACGGUACUUUAUGAGAAAG
rnacentral:rRNA from 1 species